GUAGGUGGCAAGCGUUGUCCGGAAUUAUUGGGCGUAAAGCGCGCGCAGGUGGUCCUUUAAGUCUGAUGUGAAAGCCCACGGCUCAACCGUGGAGGGUCAUUGGAAACUGGGGGACUUGAGUACAGAAGAGGAAAGCGGAAUUCCAAGUGUAGCGGUGAAAUGCGUAGAGAUUUGGAGGAACACCAGUGGCGAAGGCGGCUUUCUGGUCUGUAACUGACACUGAGGCGCGAAAGCGUGGGGAGCAAACAGGGAUUAGAUACCCUGGUAGUCCACGCCGUAAACGAUGAGUGCUAAGUGUUAGGGGGUUUCCCGCCCCUUAGUGCUGCAGCUAACGCAUUAAGCACUCCGCCUGGGGAGUACGCCGCAAGGCUG
rnacentral:rRNA from 1 species